UUUCGAUUCAGGGGGUACACAUGCAGAAUGUUACAUGGAUAUAUCACAUGACGCUGAGGUUUCGGGUACCAUUGAUCUUGUCCACCAGCUGGGAUGCUGAAACCAUCAGGGCAUUCAUGUUACCUUCAGUGGCUGGCCAUGCUAUACUCAUCUGGCUGAAAAGAGAAUCAUAGAGAGAAUAGAAGAUUGGCACAUGACAGAGCCUUGGACUCCCUCCCUGAAGUAAACAGAGCAACAUCUCACACCUCCUGUUGGAGUUAACCAAGUGAUACCAUUUGUAUAUCUGCCCUGCCCAAACCUCAUGUUGAAAUGCAAUCCCCAAGGUGAGAUGCCUGCCUCCCUUUGCGUUCUGCCAUGACUGGAAGCUUCUUGAUGCCUUCUCAGAAGCAGAUGCUGCUAGGCUUCCUGUACUAUCUGCAGAACCAUGAGACAAUUAAACCUCUUUUCUUACAAAUUACCCAGCCUCAGGUAUUUCUUUAUAGCAAUGCAAGAAUGGUCUAAUACACAAAGGCAGCCUCCUACCUGUCUUUCUCAUGCUACCUACAGAAAAUUUCUUAAGUCCAGAUUUGCCCAGAGUCUCCUGGGAAGAUGCUUGAUUGCCCUACAGAGAAGUCUGUCAGUGUG
rnacentral:lncRNA from 10 species